UCAGCCGCAUCUCCCGAUGCCAAAUCCUCUCUCUCCAUCCCUUUUGGUUCUUGAUUUUGGUUUCUUUGAGAUUUUUCUUUUGCUUUUCCUGAGAUUUGUUCGCUCUUGUGCUCUAUUUCAUAAUAGAUUUGUUCUGUAUUUUCGUUUUUUUAUUCCCCUCCCCUGCAUCCUCGUGCCUUUUUCCACGGACUCACCUUCUUGGUGCUCAUCGUUAGGUUGAUGGUGGUGUACUGACGCCAGUGAGAACUACGAGGAGGAAGAGAACACAAAGAGAGAGAUGGAGCGGCAAGACUACAAGAUCCCACAUGCAAGUCGAGAUAAGAGAGAAGGGACAGGUUCAGAUUAGCACUCCACAUCCUAUGGCAGUUGGCACGCUAGGACAUGGGAAAGCUCAGCUCAGCCGGUAGCCAUGAUGCACCCCCCUUCCCAAAUUUUCAAGUAAGUUAUUUUUUGUUUAAGUGCAAUUGAUGAAUUUGUCCUAUGGGUGGAUAUUAUUUUUGUAAAAAUAUGAUUUAUUUUUCAUAUCAAAUUACAUAUGAGGUGUCAAAGGAGGCAACUGAGCAGAGCAUGAAACACAGGUGUUUCCUUCUUCCUGGUUCUGUUGAACACUGGUGUUUAUUUAUCUUAAGCAUGCCACAUCAGUGCUGGAUUUAUUUUACUUUUACAGCUUUUUGAUGGAAGAUUGUUGAUUGAUACUGCCAUGUGUUUCUUACUCACAAUUAAUCGGGGUUUUUAGAUCGGUUCUGUCAUGUCUUUGCUCAUUACCUAAAUAUUUGUAACUCCUCGCUGCAUAUUAUCCUUCCUGGACUGACUAAAUUGACGCCGAUAGAGCAGGUUUUCGCAGUGCUAUUUGUUAAGAUGGAGACCAGCUGACCUUAAUUACCCAAAAGUGUUACUUUCAGCGUUCUACUUUACUCACAUCUUUUAUUGGACAUGGCAAACUGUUAAAGUGCUGGAAUGCUGCCAGUCUACUGGGCUUUUGAAUAUUUAAUUCUAUUUGGUUCAUCUAGAUUGUUUCGAAUGCACAGUGAGGACGAGCUUCUGGGUUCCGCAGCUUGAAUGGUGUGGAGCUCCAUCACUUUUGCUGAAUGGCUCACCAAACCAUUGUUUCUACAGCCUGUGAUCAGUAGCGGAGCUUGACAAAGAAAUCAGGGCGGGCCAAAAUAUUUUUUUAGAGAGAAAACACUAGGGAAAAGCGGGAUUAGAUAAGACUAAUUAUGUUUUAAGGCUGAAUAAUAGGAUAGAUGGGCGGGCCAUGGCACAGGUUUGCUUCAACUAAGCUCCUCCACUGCCUGUGAUGUUGAUCGAGGUUUGUCAAACUUGAGCAUCCAUCUUCUUUGUGUGUCUUUUUGGUUGUUCGCGAAACCCACAGGAAUAAGCUGAUUAAUUAGUUGUAUGCAUUAACGAAUUUACUCUAACAAAUAUGUGAAAGAUGAAGCUGAACCUCACUUAAACUAUUUCACGAAAUUGCAGGCUA